rnacentral:rRNA from 1 species
GACAGAGGGUGCAAACGUUGUUCGGAAUUACUGGGCGUAAAGCGUGUGUAGGCGGCCUCGUAAGUCGGAUGUGAAAGCCCCAGGCUUAACCUGGGAAGUGCACUCGAAACUGCGAGGCUUGAGUAUCGGAGAGGUUGGUGGAAUUCUCGGUGUAGAGGUGAAAUUCGUAGAUAUCGAGAGGAACACCGGUGGCGAAGGCGGCCAACUGGACGAAUACUGACGCUGAGACGCGAAAGCGUGGGGAGCAAACAGG